AUCUCCUGACCUCAUGAUCCACCCGCCUUGGGCUCCCAAAGUGCUGGGAUUACAGGUGUGAGCCACUGCGCCUGUCCGGAACUGCCACCUUUUUCAAUCUGAUCCUGAUUACAUUUCCCUUCCACAUCCUGCCCUACAUCUGAUGUACUAUGCAUUCUAUUUAUUUUCAUGUAUCCCUCAUGCUGUUCCCUCUAGCCUCCUAUGCUCAUUCCAACUCUUCUAUCAAAAUCAUGCAUAUCCUUCUAAGUGUAAGCCAGGUACAACAGACAUGAAGCCUUUCCUGAUUUCCUAGUCAGAAGUAAUCACUCCUGCAGUCAGGACAAACUGGUCCUAUCCCUGUUUAAUAUUUACUUCGUGGUUUUAUGAUGGAAAUAACUACAUUUCUGUUUUCCCAUUAGAAUGCAAGCUCCUGGAGAGCAUCGAUUGUGACUUUGUGUCUACCUCACAGGGCCUGCCACUUAGUAGGUGCCCAAAAGACGUUUGUUCACCCUGGGCUUGCCUUUCCUGUCCUGGAAAAGGAAACCAAAAUCAUGGUACUCUGAAGACCAGAGAUGUGAAUCUCCCUCAUUUGGCAUCCCACUGGGCUGGAUCUGUUAUUCACUGAAAAUGCCCUGCUGCUAAGACUAUAUAAGCACCCUCUCUCUAAGCCCAGGGACUGUUGUGGACGAGGUGGAUGCGUGAGAUGGUUAAGGGUUGGUUUUAAGGGAUAGAAUUAGGUUAAGGUCAGGCCCUCCAAAUCAAGGAUGAGUACAAAAACAUGUAAACAGAUGGUAAAAUAAAGUACUUUGUCUUCUGAAGCUA